UACGUAGGGGGCAAGCGUUGUCCGGAAUCACUGGGCGUAAAGCGCGCGCAGGCGGUCAUCUACGUCUGGGGGUGAAAGCCCCGGAGCUCAACUCCGGGAUUGCCUUGGGAUACGGGAUGACUUGAGGAUCGGAGAGGCAAGGGGAAUUCCACGUGUAGCGGUGAAAUGCGUAGAGAUGUGGAGGAACACCUGUGGCGAAGGCGCCUUGCUGGCCGAUUUCUGACGCUGAGGCGCGAAAGCGUGGGGAGCAAACAGG
rnacentral:rRNA from 1 species